AUGUACCGCUCGUUUAGCCCGGUUCCUGCGCGGUGCCUGCAUCACCUGAUGACUGCUCUGUGCGUUUUUUCAGCC
rnacentral:sRNA from 1 species